rnacentral:rRNA from 1 species
UAUUCGUCAAUGGGGGAAACCCCGAACGAGCAAUGCCGCGUGAGUGAUGACGGUCUUUAUGAGCGUAAAACCCUGUUGUUAGAGAAGAAGAGGCGUGAGAGUAACUGUUGACGUUUCGACGGUAUGUACCCAGAAAGCCACGGCUAACUACGUGCCAGCAGCCGCGGUAAUACGUAGGUGGCAAGCGUUAUCCGGAUUUAUUGGGCGUAAAGGGAACGCAGGCGGUCUUUUAAGUCUGAUUUGAAAGCCUUCGGCUUAACCGGAGUAGUGCAUUGGAAACUGGGAGACUUGAGUGCAGAAGAGGAGAGUGGAACUCCAUGUGUAGCGGUGAAAUGCGUAGAUAUAUGGAAGAACACCAGUGGCGAAAGCGGCUCUCUGGUCUGUAACUGACGCUGAGGUUCGAAAGCGUGGGUAGCAAACAGG